rnacentral:rRNA from 1 species
GUGGGGAAUCUUGCGCAAUGGGCGAAAGCCUGACGCAGCCAUGCCGCGUGAAUGAUGAAGGUCUUAGGAUUGUAAAAUUCUUUCACCGGGGACGAUAAUGACGGUACCCGGAGAAGAAGCCCCGGCUAACUUCGUGCCAGCAGCCGCGGUAAUACGAAGGGGGCUAGCGUUGCUCGGAAUUACUGGGCGUAAAGGGCGCGUAGGCGGACAGUUUAGUCAGAGGUGAAAGCCCAGGGCUCAACCUUGGAAUUGCCUUUGAUACUGGCUGUCUUGAGUACGGGAGAGGUGAGUGGAACUCCGAGUGUAGAGGUGAAAUUCGUAGAUAUUCGGAAGAACACCAGUGGCGAAGGCGACUCACUGGCCCAAUACUGACGCUGAGGCGCGAAAGCGUGGGGAGCAAACAGGAUUAGAAACCGAGUAGUCC